rnacentral:tRNA from 1 species
CGCCAGAUAGGUCAGUUGGUAGAGCACCUGACUAGAGAUUCAGGGGGCCCGGGUUCGAAUCCCGGUCUGGUCC